CGGAUUAGCCCAAACCAAUAAAGUUUUCUUUAUUGGGGUUGCGGACAUAUCAUAACGAAGAGGUAUCGUAAUUGAAGAGGUUUGGAAAGACCCACCACAGAAGGUAAUAGUCCUGUAUGUUAAACGAGAAGACUUUAGAUAUGAUCCAGAGUACCACGGGACACGUGAAACCCUGUGGGAAGCAGGAGGGACCACCCUCCAAGGCUAAAUACUACCUAGUGACCGAUAGCGUAUAGUACCGUGAGGGAAAGGUGAAAAGAACCCCGGGAGGGGAGUGAAAUAGAACCUGAAACCCUGCACUUACAAGCUGUGGAAGCACAUUUCUUGUGUGACCGCGUACUUUUUGUAGAACGGGCCAACGAGUUACGUUAAGUAGCAAGGUUAAGCACUUAAGGUGCGGAGCCGUAGCGAAAGCGAGUUUUAACUGAGCGUUCAGUUACUUGACGUAGACCCGAAACCGGGCGACCUACCCAUGAGCAGGAUGAAGCGAAAGUAAAAUUUCGUGGAGGUCCGAACCCACGAGCGUUGAAAAGCUCGGGGAUGACUUGUGGGUAGCGGUGAAAUUCCAAUCGAGCCCGGAGAUAGCUGGUUCUCCCCGAAAUAGCUUUAGGGCUAGCCUCAAGGUGAGAGAUACGGAGGUAGAGCACUG
rnacentral:rRNA from 1 species